rnacentral:rRNA from 1 species
UACGUAGGGGGCUAGCGUUGUCCGGAAUCAUUGGGCGUACAGAGCGUGUAGGCGGUCCGGUAAGUCCGCUGUGAAAGUCGGGGGCUCAACCCUCGAAUGCCGGUGGAUACUGUCGGGCUAGAGUGCGGAAGAGGCGAGUGGAAUUCCUGGUGUAGCGGUGAAAUGCGCAGAUAUCAGGAGGAACACCCAUGGCGAAGGCAGCUGCCUGGGUCCAAUCUGACGCUGAGGCGCGAAAGCGUGGGGAGCGAACGGG